GCUAGAUGUAGCCCUACUAACCAACUAGUUAAUUAUUUCCACUGACUAAAUAAAACAUUUAUAACCUUAGUAUAGGUGAUAGAACAGAAACAGCAGGAGCAAUAGAGAUAGUACCGCAAGGGAAUAAUGAAAGACCAACCUUAAAGCAAAGUAAAGCAAAGAUUAAUCCUUUUACCUUUUGCAUAAUGAUUUAGCUAGAAAAAUCAGACAAAAAGAAUUUUAGCCUGAACCCCCGAAAUUAAGUGAGCUACUAUAAAACAGUUGGCAGAACGAACUCGUCUAUGUAGCAAAAUAGUGAGAAGAUUUUAUAGUAGAGGUGAAAAGCCUAUCGAACUUAAAGAUAGCUGGUUAUCCAAAACACGAAUUUUAGUUCAACUUUAAAUUUAACUAAAGUUAAGCAAUACAUAAUUUAAAUUUAAAAGUUAGUCAAAAGAGGGACAACUCUUUUGAUAUGUGGACAAACUUCCUUAGAGGAUCAUAUAAUUGAUAUUCACAUUGUAGGCUUAAAAGCAGCCAUCAAUUAAGAAAGCGUCCAAGCUCAAACGCUAGAAUCUCCAAAUCUCAACAAUAUUAAUUCAAUCCCUAAUUUCAAUAUUGGAUGAUUUUAUAAUGAUAUAAAAGACAUAAUGCUAAAAUAAGUAACAAGAAUUUUUUUCUCCUCGCAUAAGCCUAAAUUAGCAACGGAACACCCACUAAUAAUUAACAGUCAUAUACCUAUAAUUUUACCACCAGACAAAUAUACUAAUGUGCUGUUAACCCGACACAGGUGUGCGUACAAGGAAAGAUUGAAAAGAAUAAAAGGAACUCGGCAACCAAAAACCCCGCCUGUUUACCAAAAACAUCACCUCUAGCAUCACAAAUAUUAGAGGCAUUGCCUGCCCAGUGAGUCAUUACUUAAACGGCCGCGGUAUUCUGACCGUGCAAAGGUAGCAUAAUCAUUUGUCUCUUAAUUGGGGACUCGUAUGAAUGGCGUGACGAGGGUUUAACUGUCUCUUAUUCUUGAUCAGUGAAAUUGACCUUCACGUGCAGAGGCGUGGAUAUUUAUGCAAGACGAGAAGACCCUGUGGAGCUUUAUACUAAUAACUUAAGAUCUAUUAUUCUCACCCAACACGGGCUAACAAAAUAAUAUAACUAAGUCAUAGUUUUUGGUUGGGGUGACCUCGGAGCAUAAAAUAACCUCCGACUGAAAUUAUAACCGAGACUAACCAGUUAAAGUGUUACGGAACCAAUAAUUGACCCAUAUAUUGAUCAACGGAAUAAGUUACCCCAGGGAUAACAGCGCAAUCCUAUUCAAGAGCCCAUAUCGACAUUAGGGUUUACGACCUCGAUGUUGGAUCAGGACAUCCAAAUGGUGCAUCCGCUAUUAAUGGUUCGUUUGUUCAACGAUUAAAGUCCUACGUGAUCUGAGUUCAGACCGGAGAAAUCCAGGUCGGUUUCUAUCUGCACAUCCAUUUUUCCCAGUACGAAAGGACAAGAAAAAUAAGGCCAACAUAACUAAUGAGCCUUAGAAUUAAUAUAUGAAUUCAUCUAAAUAUAGUAAUUCAAUAUUCUGCUUCCUCUAGAAAAGGGGAAAAUCC
rnacentral:rRNA from 1 species